CCAUAACAAGGUUCAGCACACGAGAAUUAUUACCUAAAGUAUGAUCUGUCCAAAAUUCAAAUGAACUGAUCUGACAACAUAACUGAAAGGGGGCUGGGUAUCCCAUAAAUGUGUAAUUUCAGAAAAUUCACACUUUGGUGACUAACCCUGAUGUAUCUGAUGCGAAAGGGGUAAAAGAGUUUGUGGAUAGGAGUUGAGACGGACUGAGCUGCAUUAGGCACUGCCUACUCUCACCACUAGGUGGCAUGCUUAAUGCAGAUAUGAAAGCAGAAUUUUUUACUGUUAAAAUCUGCUCUAUCUAUCGGGGGUGUGAUACUUUGUUUAAAUAAACUGCUCCUAUGUGAGCUCAGUCCCUAUUUCCAACCAUUGAUUUCAUGAGUGGGUAGACCCCCGGUGACGGGGGUUAUGUCAGACCUGGUCAUUUAAUAUUGUACAAUGUGUAUUUGUUUGGUUAAUUGGGUGUACAGUGAUGUAGUAUGCGUGUAUGUGUGUACAGUGGUAUAGUGUGUGUGUGUGUAUGUGUGUA